AUGAGGAAAGCAUACACUUUUUACAGACAAUAUAUAAACAUGUUGUACAUAAUUAACAAUAACUUAGUUCACUAAUCCAAAAAUAAGCAAAAUAAAAAAAUUAAAAUAAAAACAGAAAAUACUGCAGAUUUUUUUUAUGCUGAUACAAGUACAAAAUAAUUUAAAUCUCAACUGCCGUUGUCUAUGCUGCAGUGACUGACAAUAUAUUGCACUUUGUCAACUGUAUCAGUAAUCCCUGUCUUCCACCCACAUCCCUUCCCCACCCCCCUGCCCAAAUCCUACAGAAAUUUGAGUCGGGUACAAAUAACGUACAACUGUACCAUUGUAAAAGGUAAAAAGUAAAAAGGAUCCAAAUUUUUACCUCAGUAGAUUAAAAAGCCUUAUGAUUUUUCCUAACAGAUUUUGUUUCCUGUUUAUUUCCACUUCUAUACAAAGUGCACCUAUAUGCCUACGCAGACCAGAAAAAAGGACGAAAGCAGGAUUUUCCAGUGAUCUCAACCUCAUUUCUGCCCUUCCUCCCUGUGAAGUCCACCAGGGCCUGGAUGCCUGAGACAGCACACGCGCUGACUGGCUGCGUGUGGACAUGGUGGCCACACUGCCUCCACGAUAGAAAUCCAGCAUGUGUGGCUUCCAGUGAGCCGAUUCCAUCCUGGGAGGCUGCUUAUAUCUCUUUACAAUAUUCACAGUAAUAACAAAGAGAAAAAGGAAAGCCAGUUCCAGCCUCUUCCUUCUGCUUCUGCC